rnacentral:lncRNA from 1 species
GGAGAGGAGUGGGUUGGGUUUCAGGAUGAGGGUUCUGGGCAGUAGGACCCAGUGGGAUCUGGGCUUUGUGCCCAGAUUCCUCUACAUGCAACCAUGGAGCUCUGAUAAAUGAGAGGCAGCUGAGAAAAGUUGGAUUUGGGGAUUAAUUUAAUUAUGUAAUUGAAGAGGAAGCAUCUCCUGCCAAUGACCAUCCUGGGUUUCUGCGCCUCAGCACUCCCAAGAAAUUGUGAAUGACGGAGCCAUGGGGGUGUCAAAAGCCAGCGAGGUGAAGAGCAGCAGCAGGUGGGUACCAUGGGGCAUGGCAGGGAAUUUUGGAGGGGCUCCUGCUUUGUUAUCCCACUGGUUUUCCUAGGAGUUUCAUGCUCAAGCAGAGAAAUUGCUCCAGAAUUCCUUUUGGGAAGCAUUUUUUGGUGCUGCUGGGCAUAAGGAUUAGGAAGUAUGGCAUCAUGCCAUGGUUUGUGGUUACCACCAAGGGGUUGGUUUCAGUGGGAUCAAUUCUUCCUUAUCCCAGGAAGCGAAAGAAUGAGUUGGAAAACGAGCAGGACAAGCCAAAGGAGCUGGAAUGCACAGAGAAGCCUUCCACGGUAAAAGGGAAGAAGAAAGAAAAAUCAAAAGCCAAGGAAAAGCCACUGCAGGAGAACAUCAUCAGCAGGUCAGUCCUUGGAAUGGGCUUUUCCAUCUGGGAUAUCUCAGAGUUGUGCAUGGGAAGGCCACAAUGUUCAGCUCUGUUUUCCUUGUGUUGCUUUGAUUAUCAAAAGGAGUUUUUAAAAGGGAAAAAUAAAGAUCAUGGAGUGAUGGGAAAAGGGGAAUCACCUUCAGCUGAAGGAUGGAAGGUUUAGGUUGG